UCCCUGGUGGCUCAGUAGUAAAGAAUAUGCCUGCAAUGCGGGAGACCUGGGUUCAAUUCCUGGGCCAGGGAG
rnacentral:tRNA from 1 species